rnacentral:rRNA from 1 species
UACGAAGGGGGCUAGCGUUGUUCGGAAUUACUGGGCGUAAAGCGUGCGCAGGCGGUUGUGUAAGACCGAUGUGAAAUCCCCGGGCUUAACCUGGGAAUGGCAUUGGUGACUGCACGGCUAGAGUGUGUCAGAGGGGGGUAGAAUUCCACGUGUAGCAGUGAAAUGCGUAGAGAUGUGGAGGAAUACCGAUGGCGAAGGCAGCCCCCUGGGAUAACACUGACGCUCAUGCACGAAAGCGUGGGGAGCAAACAGG